GACGAACGCUGGCGGCGUGCUUAACACAUGCAAGUCGAACGGUGACGGCAGAGCUUGCUCUGCCUGAUCAGUGGCGAACGGGUGAGUAACACGUGAGUAACCUGCCCCUCACUUCGGGAUAACCUCAGGAAAUCGUGGCUAAUACCGGAUAUGAGACCUGACUGCUGGGUCGGGUCUGGAAAGAUUUAUCGGUGGGGGAUGGACUAGCGGCCAAUCAGAUUGUUGGUGAGGUAGCGGCACAGCAAGGCCACGAGGGGUAGCCGGCCUGGGAGGGGGACCGGCCAAACUGGGCCUGGGAUGCGGCCCAGACUCCAACGGGAGGCAGCGGUGGGGAAUAUUGCACAGUGGGCGAAAGCCUGAUCCAGCGACGCCGCGUGGGGGAUGAAGGCAUUCGGGUUGUAAACCUCUUCCCGCAGGGAAGAAGCGAAAGUGACGGUACCUGCAGAAGAAGCGCCGGCUAACUACGUG
rnacentral:rRNA from 1 species